CAAUAGCGUAUAUUAAUGUUGUUGCAGUUAAAAAGCUCGUAGUUGGAUUUGUGGUGUGUCCUGUCGGUCUGUGGGCUCAGCCUGCGUGUCUGUACGGGUCUGCCUUUCAUGGGAUUGUUGGCUUUGUGGCAUUAGGUUGUCGCAUUGUCGAUGCCCAUCUUUUACUGUGAAAAAAUUAGAGUGUUCAAAGCAGGCUUAUGCCGUUGAAUAUAUUAGCAUGGAAUAAUGACAUAGGACCUUGGUACUAUUUUGUUGGUUUGCGCACUAAGGUAAUGAUUAAUAGGGACAGUUGGGGGUAUUCGUAUUCCAUUGUCAGAGGUGAAAUUCUUGGAUUUUUGGAAGACGAACUACUGCGAAAGCAUUUACCAAGGAUGUUUNCAUUAA
rnacentral:rRNA from 1 species